CGUUCACGUCGGGGAUUGCAGUGCCUUGGGAUUGUGGAGGAUUAUAUUUUGUCGGGGAGUUUCCAAAUUGGGAUGGGUAACAGUUUUGCCUUUGAUUUCCAAAAUGUGAUAGAUAAUACUAUUUUUCUCACAGUAAUGGAUUAUUGUUUCAAAGUCAGGUGGGCUGAGUGGAAUGGGAUGUACAGGGAUGAUGUUAGAAGAUUUAUCAAGGUAUACAACGUUAAAAUCUGGUAUACACCAAUGCUGUUAGAAGAAGCCUUAUUGCAGAAACACUCUUAUGUUCCACAUUAUUUAGGGUAUGAAAGGAAGCUUUGCUACUCGGGUUGCAGGAUCUUCUGAUCUUUACCAGGUUAACCAGCGGAAGCCUCCUUACCACGGUGUAAAUUUCAUAAUUGCGCAUGAUGGAUUCACAUUGAGAGAUCAUACAAUUCUAAGGUACUUUUGAUUUCUCAUGUAAUGAUGUUGCAGCCUGGAUGAGUGUCCAUUCCUUACAUAUCUCUUCUGUAAUCUGGAACUGUGGUUUGGAAGGUACAGUUUAUAACGUUAUCAAAACAUUGAAAGUUUCUUGUUUUAGUAUUCAAGUUUAUACUCUGUUUCUUGUCAGGGGAAACUGGCAGAUGAAGAAUUUUCAUUUAGCUUUGAUGAUUUCUCAGGUAAAACCAUUGCCAACAUACAUGAAUGAUAUUGUUGUUAACAAUCUUAUAUGAGACCGACCUUGAUCAAUGAUGCUAAUGGGAGACGAAUAUGGACAUUACCCGAUAUGGUAAUAACAAUAGCUAAUACUGCUCUCAACAAUUUCCAGUGGAAAGAGGCAAGUCUUAUAUCUUAUAAGUUAAUAUGGAUGGAUUCUCCCCUGUAAGGCUGUAACUGUUGUAUCAUGGCUUGUUUGUUAUUUUAAAAUCCAGCUCGACGCAAAGAAUAGCAGAACCAUUUUAGGUUCUUUUCAGAGUUGAUCAAGUUCCGACAUACACACCAUGCAUGUGUACUCAAGCACGAAAAUUUCCUCAGCAAAGCUCCAUGAUAGUGUAAGCGGCCAAGAUGUGUAUGCGGCUUUCAACCCCCAUGACUACUUUGUCACCGUCGAGAAAACAAUGGUUCCGUGCGGCUGACACAAACAUGGAGUCACCAGAUGAUUUUGUAAAGGAAGGUGUGUCUGAGACAUACAAUGUGGCUCCAUUCUCUUCGAUCCCUCUCAAGUCCAUGUAAAGGAAAGUACAUCCUUGGUCUGAUUCAUAAGUAUUUGAUUAAUAUGUAAAAUUCUAAAAUAGAAGACAACUUCUAUCAAAAGAUGCAAAAAUAUAUAAUUUAUUUCGAGGGAUUUUUUAAGUUUUCAUUCACCCCCAAACUCUUAUGUAUCCUCUUUUUCUUCGAUUCAUCUCUAACAAAGGCUUGCAUCAGAUUUGAACAUGGGAACCAAACAUAAAUAUCGAUUAUAUGUAAAUUCUAAUCAAAAGAAACUAUAUAUGUUAAACUAAACAUGUGACAGGGCUGUGAUGAUGCAAACUUCAAGUCUAAGGAAACUAUUCAAGAAUAAAACAUAGCAAAUUUAACAAAACAUAUAACAAAGUUUUAAA